GCCCCGGUAGCUCAGUCGGAUAGAGCACCGGAUUCCUAAUCCGGGGGUCCCAUGUUCGAAUCAUGGUCGGGGCGCCA
rnacentral:tRNA from 1 species